rnacentral:tRNA from 1 species
GCCGGUGUAGCUCAAUUGGCAGAGCACCCGCCUUGUAAGCGGAAGGUUACGGGUUCAAGUCCCGUCACCGGCU